rnacentral:misc_RNA from 1 species
AGCAGCCGCGGUAAUUCCAGCUCCAAUAGCGUAUAUUAAAGUUGUUGCAGUUAAAAAGCUCGUAGUUGAAUUUCGGGAUUGGCGCAUCGGUCGUGCCUCACGGGGUAUGAACUGGUGCAGUCAAUUUCUCACCUUCUGGAGAACCGCGAUGUCCUUAAUUGGAUGCCGUGGGGAACCAGGACCUUUACUUUGAAAAAAUUAGAGUGUUUAAAGCAGGCAUUUUUGCUUGAAUACAUUAGCAUGGAAUAAUAAAAUAGGACGGCAUGGUUCUAUUUUGUUGGUUUCUAGGACCACCGUAAUGAUUAAUAGGGAUAGUUGGGGGCAUUAGUAUUCAAUUGUCAGAGGUGAAAUUCUUGGAUUUAUUGAAGACUAACUACUGCGAAAGCAUUUGCCAAGGAUGUUUUCAUUAAUCAAGAACGAAAGUUAGGGGAUCGAAGACGAUCAGAUACCGUCGUAGUCUUAACCAUAAACUAUGCCGACUAGGAAUCAGAC